GGGAGGUCGAAUAAUCGUCGCCAUCAAUAACUGAACCGGGUGUGUCGUAGUUCAGGUGAGCAGUUCAGGUCUUACGAGAUGGCUGAGACCUUUCUUUUCACCUCUGAGUCUGUGAAUGAAGGACACCCUGAUAAGCUCUGCGAUCAGAUCUCCGAUGCUGUGCUUGAUGCCUGCCUCGAGCAGGACCCUGACAGCAAAGUGGCCUGUGAGACCUGCACCAAGACCAACAUGGUGAUGGUCUUUGGGGAGAUAACUACUAAGGCAAAUAUCGACUAUGAGAAGAUCGUCCGGGACACUUGCCGCAAAAUUGGAUUUAUCUCCGAUGAUGUUGGUCUGGAUGCUGACCAUUGCAAGGUACUUGUUAACAUAGAGCAGCAGUCUCCUGACAUUGCCCAGGGUGUGCAUGGCCACUUCACUAAGCGCCCGGAAGAGAUUGGUGCCGGUGACCAGGGACACAUGUUUGGAUACGCCACAGAUGAGACCCCAGAGCUCAUGCCUCUGACUCAUGUCCUCGCAACCAAGCUCGGUGCUCGCCUAACUGAGGUACGCAAGAACGGGACCUGCCCUUGGCUGAGGCCCGAUGGAAAGACCCAGGUGACAAUUGAGUAUCAGAAUGACCAUGGUGCCAUGGUGCCAAUUCGUGUUCACACCAUCCUCAUCUCCACCCAGCAUGAUGAAACCGUCACCAAUGAUGAGAUUGCUGCAGACCUCAAGGAGCAUGUGAUCAAGCCUGUUGUCCCUGAGAAGUAUCUUGACGAGAAGACCAUCUUCCACCUCAACCCGUCUGGCCGCUUUGUGAUUGGAGGGCCCCAUGGUGAUGCUGGGCUCACCGGCCGCAAGAUUAUUAUUGACACCUAUGGUGGCUGGGGAGCUCAUGGUGGUGGUGCCUUCUCUGGUAAGGAUCCUACUAAGGUCGACCGUAGUGGUGCCUACAUUGUGAGGCAGGCAGCUAAGAGUAUUGUGGCCAAUGGCCUUGCUCGUCGCUGCAUUGUGCAGGUUUCCUAUGCCAUUGGUGUGCCUGAGCCCCUGUCUGUGUUUGUUGACACCUAUGGCACUGGCAAAAUUCCCGACAGGGAGAUAUUGAAGAUUGUGAAGGAGACCUUUGACUUCCGGCCUGGGAUGAUGACCAUCAAUCUUGACCUGAAGAGGGGUGGUAAUGACAGGUUUCUGAAGACAGCUGCCUAUGGGCAUUUCGGUAGGGAUGACCCCGACUUCACCUGGGAGGUGGUUAAGCCUCUCAAGUGGGAGAAGCCUAUUGCUUGAGAUUUCAGGGAAGCCUUAAUUAAUAUAUAGACAAGCAUCUGCAUCUAUAUUUGUAGGAAACUAUUUAAUCGUUUAAUUUGCUGUGGUCUGUUGGAUCCAUUGUUUUAGUUUGAUGUUGGUCUAGUGUGAUGUUACCUUUUAUUAUUCGUUAUUAAGUUGUGCUGAAAGAAAAC
rnacentral:misc_RNA from 1 species